rnacentral:rRNA from 1 species
GACGAAGGACCCGAGCGUUAUCCGGAUUCAUUGGGUUUAAAGGGUGCGUAGGUGGAUUGAUAAGUCAGUGGUGAAAUCUCCAGGCUUAACCUGGAAACUGCCAUUGAUACUGUCAAUCUUGAAUAUGUUUGAUGUGGGCGGAAUAUGACAUGUAGCAGUGAAAUGCUUAGAUAUGUCAUAGAACACCGAUUGCGAAGGCAGCUCACAAAGCCAUUAUUGACACUGAGGCACGAAAGUGUGGGGAUCAAACAGG